rnacentral:rRNA from 1 species
CGGGAGGCAGCAGUGGGGGAUAUUGCGCAAUGGGCGAAAGCCUGACGCAGCGACGCCGCGUGGGUGAUGAAGGCCUUCGGGUCGUAAAGCCCUGUCGAGGGGGACGAACCGGUUGCGAUCGAAUAGAUCGCAGCCCUGACGGUACCCCUAAAGGAAGCACCGGCUAACUCCGUGCCAGCAGCCGAGGUAAUACGGAGGGUGCGAGCGUUGUUCGGAAUCACUGGGCGUAAAGCGCGUGUAGGCGGCCUGCUAAGUCUGAUGUGAAAGCCCGAGGCUCACCCUCGGAAGUGCAUUGGAAACUGGCAGACUGGAGUCCCGGAGAGGAGGGUGGAAUUCCUGGUGUAGCGGUGAAAUGCGUAGAUAUCAGGAGGAACACCGGUGGCGAAGGCGGCCCUCUGGACGGUGACUGACGCUGAGACGCGAAAGCGUGGGGAGCAAACAGGAUUAGAUACCCUGGUAGUCCACGCUGUAAACGAUGAGCACUAGGUGUCGCGGGUAUUGACCCCUGCGGUGCCGCAGCUAACGCAUUAAGUGCUCCGCCUGGGGACUACGGCCGCAAGGUUAAAACUCAAAGGAAUUGACGG